GAGAGUGUAGCUCAGGGGUGGAGCACAUACUUAGCAUGCAUGAGGUCCCGGGUUCCAUCCCCAGCACCUCCA
rnacentral:tRNA from 1 species